rnacentral:rRNA from 2 species
CUGCCAGAAUUCAUAUGCUUGUCCCGAAGAAUCAAGCCAUGCAUGCCCAUGAGAAAUGAACGGCCAAACUGUGGUCCAGGAGAGCUUACCCGCUCCCGGGCCCGACCUGGUUGUAAGGAUUCAGCGAACGGCUCCGCAUAUCUGUUGUCACCUAUCGUGGUAAAUUGGCGUGGAUAGAGCACGGAAAAGCUGUGUAUAACACAGACAAGAUGGGGCAAACGCAGAGCAGAUGGCCCUUUGCUCAGCGGAUAAAUGGGCCGUAAGUACGUCGGCCCUGCCUCUUAAAGAGCUCCUAUAUAGCGUACCGCCGAAAAACCGUGCGGGGAAGCUUUAAUGCGGAGGCCUCUGCCUGGGGAGGUCGCUGUCCAAAUCCCGGAACUUCACAGUAGACACCCAACUAUGUAGAGACUAACCACUAGCGCACGAUGGACUUCAGACCUAUCAGCUAGAUGGUAGGGUAUUGGCCUACCAUGGCCAUGACGGGUACAGAGGAUUAGGGUUUGAUCCUGGAGAGGUAGCCUGAGAAAUCGCUCCCACUUCUAAGGAAGGCAGCAGGCGCGUAACGUUCCCAAUGCUAAGUACAGUGAGGACGUAAUGGGACAUAACAAUGCCUCUUUAAUAGUGGGCAAUGACAAUGGGCGGCU